rnacentral:rRNA from 1 species
GAGUUUGAUCCUGGCUCAGGAUGAACGCUGGCGGCGUGCUUAACACAUGCAAGUCGAACGAGGAAUUUUAAAUGAGACUUCGGUGGAUUUUAAAAUUCUUAGUGGCGGACGGGUGAGUAACGCGUGGGCAACCUGCCCUGUGCAGGGGGACAACAGCUGGAAACGGCUGCUAAUACCGCAUAAGACCACGGAGCCGCAUGGCUCAGUGGGAAAAACUCCGGUGGUACAGGAUGGGCCCGCGUUGGAUUAGGUAGUUGGUGAGGUAACGGCCCACCAAGCCGACGAUCCAUAGCCGACCUGAGAGGGUGACCGGCCACGUUGGGACUGAGACACGGCCCAAACUCCUACGGGAGGCAGCAGUGGGGAAUCUUCCGCAAUGGGCGAAAGCCUGACGGAGCAACGCCGCGUGAGUGAAGAAUUAUUUCGGUAUGUAAAGCUCUAUCAGCAGGGAAGAAAAUGACGGUACCUGACUAAGAAGCCCGGCUAACUACGUGCCAGCCGCCGCGGUAAG